CCCUGGUGAAAAAAAAGUCCAAAUAACAAUUACAAUAUAAAUGUGUUGGAUGGGGGCUAAUACACAAUAAUUAGCGCAAAUUGUACGUAGCUAUCUCUCUAUGACGAAAAAUUAUAUCGGCAGAGUAUCACUGCGAUUUAGUAUUCAAGAAAUGAUCUCCGACACUCAAGAAGACAUGUUUUCCCAGAAUCACCUCGACUGGAGGCUGAUUUUCAAUGCACUUGACAGUUAUCUUUCCCUUUCCUUGUUGAAACUCCGAUUUGAGGUUAUGAUGAUCCCUCAUCAGGAGGUAAGUUCGUAAGCCUUGAGAAUACUGUGUGUUUCCUCCAUAUAAAGCAGUGAUGGCAUCUGCAUUGAACACUAGACUUGGUCUUGCUAAGGUGAUCACAAAGGACAAGUUUGAGAUUCCAUGGAAACUGUCUUCAUCAAUAGUUAUCGCAUGUGAUGGGAUCAGUUCAGCUGGAAGCAAAGGAGAUCCAAUGGCGUCUUUAAUAUAUGAUUCCUGAGACUCCAAAAUCUGCUUAGAGACUUUUUCAUCAUUAUCCAAAGACUUGAAGAAGACCUCUACCAUGUCAGUGGGUUCAAGCGCUGCUUUCUUUCUCAGCUUCUGGAUCCUAUUCACAACCUCUCGAGCAACUCCAGCCUCAAAGAGUGAAUCAUCAGUACGCAAAUCCAGUAUCACUAAAACAUCACCAUCCCCUGCUGCAUCCAUUUCAUCCUCUUUCCUGUUAUCAGGACGUUUGAAACCCCUAACAAUCUUGAUAUCAGUAAGCUUCAAAGCGUGUGAAGCAAUAGUAAGUUCUCCUGCUUUCUCAAAAGCAAUUAUAUCUGCGGUUGACAUGGCCUUAACUUCUUUGGCAACAACGCCCAUCGACUUCCCCAACCUUCUUCCCAACACACUGAAAUCUGGUUCUGCGCGCAAAGAAGCAUACUUCAACGUGUCAUUGCAUGGGACCAAAGAUUUAAUGUUUAGCUCCUCGAGCACAUACUCUCUUAAUUUGCCCGCAAUAUCAUCAAGGAAUUCUGAAUCUGGAUGUACAACCACCAUUUCCCUGAGUGGAGUUUUAAGAGGUUUGUUGUGACGCUCACGAAUGUUUCGUGCAAGGUCAAUAAGGGUCAUCAUCCUAUUAACACUCUGCUCAAUACGCUCCCAUCUCUGCCCUUCCACUGUAGGAUAGCUGCAAUAGUGAAUGCUCUCCUCUGAUCCUUUAGAAACUUUCCGCAAAUUUUGGUAAAGAACCUCAGUGAAAAAAGGAGUUAAUGGUGCCAUAGCUUUACAAGCAGUCAGCAGCACAUAGUACAGAGUUGAAAGAGCAGUUCUGCAAUCUCCUUCACCAGUACGGCCUUUUAGUCUCUUCCGAUUGAACCGCACAUAAAUAUUUGUUAAAUUAUCAAGAAAUUUUAGGAGAUAUGGAACCACCGUGUACAAUCUAUAAGCAUCCAUUUCCUUCCGGACGAAAUGCACUAAGCUCUGAGUUGCAGAAUUGAUCCAUUGGUCCAAGACAUUCGAAGAACUCUGCAAGGUUUUCUGAUCAGAAGGAAUGAAUGGUCCAAACCCAUCAAUUUCAAGUCUUUUUGCAUUCUGAACAAGGAA
rnacentral:misc_RNA from 1 species